AUUGAACGCUGGCGGCAUGCCUUACACAUGCAAGUCGAACGGCAGCACGGGAGCAAUCCUGGUGGCGAGUGGCGAACGGGUGAGUAAUAUAUCGGAACGUGCCCAGUCGUGGGGAUAACGUAGCGAAAGCUACGCUAAUACCGCAUACGAUCUAUGGAUGAAAGCGGGGAUCGCAAGACCUCGCGCGAUUGGAGCGGCCGAUAUCAGAUUAGGUAGUUGGUGAGGUAAGGCUCGCCAAGCCGACGAUCUGUAGCUGGUCUGAGAGGACGGACCAGCCACACUGGGACUGAGACACGGCCCAGACUCCUACGGGAGGCAGCAGUGGGGAAUUUUUGGACAAUGGGCGCAAGCCUGAUCCAGCAAUGCCGCGUGCAGGAUGAAGGCCUUCGGUUGU
rnacentral:rRNA from 1 species